GCAUGGUCAUGGAUUUAUGGAGGAGUCCCUCCAUGGCAUCUCCAUAGUGUACCCCAUGCAAGAGCAAUCAGCCCCCCUGAACCAUGGCCCCCCAAUAUCUCUGGGUCCUGGUCCCUGAAAUGGGGGGCCCAAUG
rnacentral:snoRNA from 1 species